rnacentral:rRNA from 1 species
AUAACGACUCUCGGCAACGGAUAUCUCGGCUCUCGCAUCGAUGAAGAACGUAGCGAAAUGCGAUACUUGGUGUGAAUUGCAGAAUCCCGUGAACCAUCGAGUCUUUGAACGCAAGUUGCGCCCGAAGCCACUAGGCCGAGGGCACGCCUGCCUGGGCGUCUCG